rnacentral:rRNA from 1 species
GAGUUUGAUCAUGGCUCAGGAUUAACGCUGGCGGCAUGCCUAAUACAUGCAAGUCGAACGGAGUAGCAAUACUUAGUGGCGAACGGGUGAGUAACACGUAUCUAAUCUACCAUUUAGUGGGGAAUAACUGUUGGAAACGACAGCUAAUACCGCAUAAUAUUGCUGGAUAAUUUCCAGUAAUGAAAGGAGCUUUCAAGCUCUGCUGAUUGAUGAGGAUGCGGCGCAUUAGCUAGUUGGUAGGGUAAUGGCCUACCAAGGCAAUGAUGCGUAGCCGAUCUGAGAGGAUGAACGGCCACAUUGGGACUGAGACACGGCCCAAACUUCUACGGAAGGCAGCAGUAGGGAAUUUUUCACAAUGGGCGAAAGCCUGAUGGAGCAAUGCCGCGUGACUGAUGAAGGUCUUCGGAUUGUAAAGGUCUGUUGUAAGGGAAGAAAUGGUAAAACAGGAAAUGGUUUUAUCUAUGACGGUACCUUACCAGAAAGCCACGGCUAACUAUGUGCCAGCAGCCGCGGUAAUACAUAGGUGGCAAGCGUUAUCCGGAUUUAUUGGGCGUAAAGGGUGCGUAGACGGUUUUGCAAGUCUGAGGUUAAAUUUAGGAGCUCAACUCCUAAUCGCCUUGGAAACUACAAGACUAGAGUAUAGGAGAGGUUAGUGGAAUUCCAUGUGUAGCGGUGGAAUGUGUAGAUAUAUGGAGGAACACCAGUGGCGAAGGC